GGAUACCAUCGCUCUCAGAAGAAACUUCCAAGGAAGAUGGAAAUGUGAGGAAAUCAGAGUGUAAUCAGUUGCAGCUGGUGUAAUGUGUUCCAGGUGAUGGCUUCCUAUAAUCAUGUCUCUCCUCUAACUCAGCCUGGCCCCGGCCUUUCACCAUCUUCCAGAGAAAGUAAACAUGGGGCAUCAUGGGACAGGGGACGAAGGCGAGAGAACCAGAGCCCACAUCUAGGCGUUACCAGCCAAAAGGGCAAACCUCGGGGACGGCAGGGCACUGGGCAGUGCCAGCGAGCAGUCUGCAGUGGGGAAGACUUGAGUUCAGAUGAAAUCUCCCUUCACCGAUCAUCUCAGAACAGAACAGAACAGACCAGUUUUAUGGACAGGAGGAUCAUGGUUAAGACGGUUCCUUCAAAGCAUCUCUCUCCAUGAUGCUGAGCCUCUCAAAAUGGUGCAUUUUUCCAUGAUGGUUGACUGUCCGAAGCCUCCCCAGGAAGGCAUUUCUGUUCUUGGUGCACCACACAGACUCCUUCCAAGGUGACCACUAAUUUGUCCAACGUGUCUCUUUGUUUUGUCGCUGUAAGAGGAGCCACGUAAGUGGCAGUUACAUACAUGUUACACACAUGCACACACAUCUUCAAA
rnacentral:lncRNA from 1 species